rnacentral:rRNA from 1 species
CCUANGGGAGGCAGCAGUGGGGAAUUUUGGACAAUGGGCGCAAGCCUGAUCCAGCCAUUCCGCGUGAGUGAAGAAGGCCUUCGGGUUGUAAAGCUCUUUCGCAAGGGAAGAAACGACACAGACGAAUAAUCUGUGUUAAUGACGGUACCUUGAUAAGAAGCACCGGCUAACUACGUGCCAGCAGCCGCGGUAAUACGUAGGGUGCGAGCGUUAAUCGGAAUUACUGGGCGUAAAGCGUGCGCAGGCGGUUUUGUAAGUCAGAUGUGAAAUCCCCGGGCUCAACCUGGGAACUGCGUUUGAAACUACAAGGCUAGAGUGUAGCAGAGGGGGGUAGAAUUCCACGUGUAGCAGUGAAAUGCGUAGAGAUGUGGAGGAAUACCAAUGGCGAAGGCAGCCCCCUGGGUUAACACUGACGCUCAUGCACGAAAGCGUGGGGAGCAAACAGGAUUAGAUACCCGGNUANUC